rnacentral:rRNA from 1 species
UACGAAGGGGGCUAGCGUUGUUCGGAUUUACUGGGCGUAAAGCGCACGUAGGCGGAUCGAUCAGUCAGGGGUGAAAUCCCAGAGCUCAACUCCAGAACUGCCAUUGAAACUGUUAGACUUGAGUACGAGAGAGGUGAGUGGAAUUCCCAGUGUAGAGGUGAAAUUCGUAGAUAUUGGGAAGAACACCAGUGGCGAAGGCGGCUCACUGGCUCGUAACUGACGCUCAGGCGCGACAGCGUGGGGAUCAAACAGG